CUUGGUCAUUUAGAGGAAGUAAAAGUCGUAACAAGGUUUCCGUAGGUGAACCUGCGGAAGGAUCAUCAUCGAUUCUGAAGGAUGUGCUGGCAUUAACUGCAUGUGCACUCCGAAAUCUUUACACCUGUGCACUUUAUGUAGGCUUCUAGAGAGAUAGCAAAGAAAUUUGCAGUUGAUCCAGAGGCUUGCGUUUUACACACCCCAUUUAAAUUUAAAGAAUGUUUUCAAGUAGACUUACUUACAAGUCGAAAUGUAAUACAACUUUCAACAAUGGAUCUCUUGGUUCUCGCAUCGAUGAAGAACGCAGCGAAUUGCGAUAUGUAAUGUGAAUUGCAGAAUUCAGUGAAUCAUCGAAUCUUUGAACGCACAUUGCACCCUCUGUAUUCCGGAGGGUAUGCCUGUUUGAGUAUCAUUAAUAUCUCAACGCAAAUAAGUUUAUUCUUGCUUGCACUUGGAUGUUGAAGGCUGCUGGCGUUAUUGUCAGCUCCUUUUAAAUGCAUUAGCGGAACUUUGUUGGAACAGCUUCGGUUUGAUAAGCUAUUAUCUAUGCUGUCGCUGAGAAACUUUGUGUUUAGCUACAAAUUGUCUCAUAAGAGACUGUCUUCUCGGAGACAUAACUUUAAAUCUUGAUCUCAAAUCAGGUAGGACUACCCGCUGAACUUAAGCAUAUCAAUAAGCGGAGGAAAAGAAACUAACAAGGAUUCCCCUAGUAACUGCGAGUGAAGAGGGAAAAGCUCAAAUUUAAAAUCUGGUAGUUUCACUGCCCGAGUUGUAAAUUAGAGAAGUGAUAUCUGCGCUGGCCUGUGCAAAAGUCUCUUGGAAAAGAGCAUCAUAGAGGGUGACAAUCCCGUCUUUGGCACAGAUUACCGGGGCUUUUGUGAUACGCUCUCGAUGAGUCGAGUUGUUUGGGAAUGCAGCUCUAAAUGGGUGGUAAAUUCCAUCUAAAGCUAAAUAUUGGCGAGAGACCGAUAGCGCACAAGUACCGUGAGGGAAAGAUGAAAAGAACUUUGAAAAGAGAGUUAAACAGUACGUGAAAUUGUUGAAAGGGAAACGCUUGAAGUCAGUCAUGUUUACAGAAAUCAACCCAGCUCUGGUUGGGGUCACUUUCUGUUGAACAGGUCAGCAUCAAUUUUGACCGCUGGAAAAAGGCUUAGGGAAUGUGGCAUCCUUUUGGAUGUGUUAUAGACCUUUGUUGGAUACAGCGAUUGGGAUUGAGGAACUCAGUGUGACUUAUGUAUGGGCUUCGGCUACACUACGCACUUAGGAUGCUGGCAUAAUGGCUUUAAUCGACCCGUCUUGAAACACGG
rnacentral:rRNA from 1 species